GAGGAAUAUUGGUCAAUGGACGGAAGUCUGAACCAGCCAAGUAGCGUGCAGGAAGACGGCCCUAUGGGUUGUAAACUGCUUUUAUACGAGAAUAAUUUGAUGCACGUGUGCGUUAUUGCAUGUAUCGUAUGAAUAAGGACCGGCUAAUUCCGUGCCAGCAGCCGCGGUAAUACGGAAGGUCCAGGCGUUAUCCGGAUUUAUUGGGUUUAAAGGGAGUGUAGGCGGUUUGUUAAGCGUGUUGUGAAAUUUAGGUGCUCAACAUUUAACUUGCAGCGCGAACUGUCAGACUUGAGUACACGCAACGUAUGCGGAAUUCAUGGUGUAGCGGUGAAAUGCUCAGAUAUCAUGAAGAACUCCGAUUGCGAAGGCAGCAUACGGGAGUGUAACUGACGCUUAAGCUCGAAGGUGCGGGUAUCGAACAGGAUUAGAUACCCUGGUAGUCCGCACAGUAAACGAUGGAUGCCCGCUGUUAGCGCCUGGCGUUAGCGGCUAAGCGAAAGCAUUAAGCAUCCCACCUGGGGAGUACGCCGGCAACGGUG
rnacentral:rRNA from 1 species